UACGUAGGGGGCAAGCGUUAUCCGGAUUUACUGGGUGUAAAGGGGGCGCAGACGGCGAUGCAAGCCAGGAGUGAAAGCCCGGGGCCCAACCCCGGGACUGCUCUUGGAGCUGCGUGGCUGGAGUGCAGGAGGGGCAGGCGGAAUUCCUGGUGUAGCGGUGAAAUGCGUAGAUAUCAGGAGGAACACCGGUGGCGAAGGCGGCCUGCUGGACUGCAACUGACGUUGAGGCCCGAAAGCGUGGGGAGCAAACAGG
rnacentral:rRNA from 1 species